AAACCAGCACCUCAAGUGGUCAGGAUGAUUAUUGGGCCUAAAGCAUCCGUAGCCGGCUCUGUAAGUUUUCGGUUAAAUCUGUACGCUUAACGUACAGGCUGCCGGGAAUACUGCAGAGCUAGGGAGUGGGAGAGGUAGACGGUACUCGGUAGGAAGGGGUAAAAUACUUUGAUCUAUUGAUGACCACCUGUGGCGAAGGCGGUCUACCAGAACACGUCCGACGGUGAGGGAUGAAAGCUGGGGGAGCAAACCGGAUUAGAAACCCGAGUAGUCC
rnacentral:rRNA from 1 species